rnacentral:rRNA from 1 species
AGAGUUUGAUCCCGGCUCAGGGUGAACGCUGGCGGCGUGCUUUAUGCAUGCAAGUCGCACGGUUCUAAUCGCAAGAAAAGGACAGUGGCAAACGGGUGAUUAACACGUAAGUAACCUGUCCCUAAGUGGGGAAUAAUCUGCCGAAAGGCGGACUAAUACCGCAUGUGGUGGUUGGGGUAAUGCCCGAUCACUAAAGCCGUAAGGCGCUUGGGGAGGGGCUUGCGUCCGAUUAGCUAGUUGGUAGGGUAACGGUCUACCAAGGCGAAGAUCGGUAGCUGGUCUGAGAGGAUGAUCAGCCACACUGGGACUGAGACACGGCCCAGACUCCUACGGGAGGCAGCAGCAGGGAAUAUUGUGCAAUGGGCGAAAGCCUGACACAGCGACGCCGCGUGGGGGAUGACGGCCUUCGGGUUGUAAACCCCUUUUCCUGGGGAAGAAUAAUGACGGUACCCAGGGGAUAAGUCACGGCCAACUACGUGCCAGCAGCCGCGGUAACACGUAGGUGGCAAGCGUUACCCGGAUUCAUUGGGCGUAAAGAGGGCGCAGGCGGCUCUACAAGUCGGGUGUGAAAUCUUUCGGCUUAACCGGGAGGGGUCAUCCGAAACUGUAGAGCUAGAGGGCAGCAGAGGGAGGUGGAAUUCCCGGUGUAGUGGUGAAAUGCGUAGAUAUCGGGAGGAACACCAGUGGCGAAGGCGGCCUCCUGGGCUGUGCCUGACGCUUAAGCCCGAAAGCGUGGGUAGCAAACAGGAUUAGAUACCCUGGUAGUCCACGCUGUAAACAGUGGACACUGGGUACAGGGAGUAUCGACCCUCUCUGUGCCGAAGUCAACACGUUAAGUGUCCCGCCUGGGGACUACGGCCGCAAGGCUAAAACUCAAAGGAAUUGACGGGGGCCCGCACAAGCAGCGGAGCGUGUGGUUUAAUUCGAUCCAAAACGAAGAACCUCACCAGGGCUUGACAUGCUGGAAGUAGGAACCCGAAGGGGAGACGACCUGUAAAGUCAGGAGCCUGCACAGGUGCUGCAUGGCUGUCGUCAGCUCGUGCCGUGAGGUGUUUGGUUAAGUCCUGCAACGAGCGCAACCCUUAUUGCUAGUUAUAUUCUCUGGCGAGACUGCCCCGCAAAACGGGGAGGAAGGUGGGGAUGACGUCAAGUCAGCACGGCCCUUAUGCCCUGGGCUACACACACGCUACAAUGGGUGGUACAAUGGGUCGCAAUGGAGUGAUCCGGAGCUAAUCCGCAAAACCAUCCUCAGUACAGAUUGCAGGCUGAAACCCGCCUGCAUGAAGCCGGAGUUGCUAGUAACCGCGUAUCAGCAUGGCGCGGUGAAUACGUUCUCGGGCCUUGUACACACCGCCCGUCACGUCAUGAAAGUCGGUAACACCUGAAGUCGAUGGGCUAACCCGCAAGGGAGGCAGUCGCCGAGGGUGGGACUGAUAAUUGGGACGAAGUCGUAACAAGGUAG